UCCGGUGCGCCCCCGGCGG
rnacentral:snRNA from 1 species